AUGGCCUUAGUAAAUUCAUUAUAUAGCCCUGUCAGUGCUAAGUAAAAGGAUAACACCUUUAAGCCAUC
rnacentral:tRNA from 1 species